rnacentral:rRNA from 1 species
AACGAACGCUGGCGGCAUGCCUAACACAUGCAAGUCGAACGAGACCUUCGGGUCUAGUGGCGCACGGGUGCGUAACGCGUGGGAAUCUGCCCUUGGGUUCGGAUAACAGUUGGAAACGACUGCUAAUACCGGAUGAUGACUAAGGUCCAAAGAUUUAUCGCCCAGGGAUGAGCCCGCGUAGGAUUAGCUAGUUGGUGAGG